rnacentral:lncRNA from 1 species
GACUUUUGAAUUUGCUUUGAAUUUGUAUUUUCUUCCUCGUUGUCACUAUCAUCCGUUUGACUCUCAUGUAUUUCCACAUAUUCCAUAUCACAAACUUUCGAAGUUGAGGGUUUAUCAGUUUCAUUUUUCAUUAAUAAAUCGUCACAUUUUUCUUUCCCUUUAUAUGAAUUUGCAACAUUUAUGACAGACAACUGUGAACAAUCUACAUCUUCUAAAUCACUAAUUUCACUAAUAUUAUUAGAAUUAUCUUCAAUAUCAGCAAUAUUAGUUUCACUAUUAGAUGUAGAAUUCUCAGUCUUUUUCAAAAUUCGAAGUUGUUCUGAUUUGGUGAAGGUUUCAUUUACAAUUUUUACUAAAUCAUCAGCAUCAAGAUAAUCUUCGACUUUUGCAAUUCCAUAUCUAAACCAAUCAUCUGGGACUUUGUUAAAAUCAGAAAUUUGUUUUUCACAAUCAUAUGAAAUACUAUCAACCUUAGCUCUAUCAUAAGCUAAAAAAGGUAGUAAUUUUCUAUGUUGUUCCUUAUUUAUUUCACAUGAAUGAUGUAACUCAGUUAAUUUUCCAUACAAUCUUUUUGCUGAAUUACAAAAAAUAUUUCUUUGAGCUAACAACAGGUUUAUUUCUUUUGCUAAUUUUUCUCUAUCCUCCAUGAUAUUUGAAACUUGCAAUUCUAAGUAAUCAAUCGUAGUGACUUUUGAAUCCAACAUUUUUCUUGUCUCUAGUAAUUGAUCACUUAACUUUUUCGCUUCAUUGCUAGCAGACACAAUGAUUGAAUCAAAGUAAGUAACAGUUUCAUCAAAAGAUACUAGCUCAGAAUUAUAUGCAGAAACUGGAAUGUUAAAAGAUUCAAGAAUGUUACGUACCUUGGUAGUCAUGGGCGACUUGUCAGUAGACUUCGAAACGAAGCAUUGCCCACACACUUCGUCAGUCUGUUCAUCAUCUGAAUCCUCUUCCAUUUUUGCAUACAUGGCUCCAUGAGUUGGAUUUUUCAUCUCUUCAUCAUCUGAACCCGAAGACCAUAUUUGAUAUGUUCCAUCUGAUUCAUUUUCUCCAUGAGCCACCAAUGACAAAUUCUUCGCUUUCUUCUUUACUUCUUCCAGUUUCUCAGUGUAGUAAGCUUCAUCCUUUGUUUUANNNNNNNNNNNNNNNNNNNNNNNNNNNNNNNNNNNNNNNNNNNNNNNNNNNNNNNNNNNNNNNNNNNNNNNNNNNNNNNNNNNNNNNNNNNNNNNNNNNNNNNNNNNNNNNNNNNNNNNNNNNNNNNNNNNNNNNNNNNNNNNNNNNNNNNNNNNNNNNNNNNNNNNNNNNNNNNNNNNNNNNNNNNNNNNNNNNNNNNNNNNNNNNNNNNNNNNNNNNNNNNNNNNNNNNNNNNNNNNNNNNNNNNNNNNNNNNNNNNNNNNNNNNNNNNNNNNNNNNNNNNNNNNNNNNNNNNNNNNNNNNNNNNNNNNNNNNNNNNNNNNNNNNNNNNNNNNNNNNNNNNNNNNNNNNNNNNNNNNNNNNNNNNNNNNNNNNNNNNNNNNNNNNNNNNNNNNNNNNNNNNNNNNNNNNNNNNNNNNNNNNNNNNNNNNNNNNNNNNNNNNNNNNNNNNNNNNNNNNNNNNNNNNNNNNNNNNNNNNNNNNNNNNNNNNNNNNNNNNNNNNNNCCUAUUUAUAGGAGUACAAAAGCAUAACAAAAUACUAAGGACUAGACAUUAAGACUAUUCAAUAAAAUGCCUUAGUAAAUAUAACAUUACAUCCGAAGACUCUACUUACGAAGACUAGAGAUCCUUCGUAACAACAAAACUAACACUUCGACUUAUUACAACAUUUAUACCCUAACAAUCUCCCCCUUUGGAAUAAAGGUCGAAGUCUUCAUGAAGUUAGUAGUUGAACAGCAUACAUCAGCACUCUUCGGAUUUCCAUGUACCAAGAGAUAACUUUCUUUAUCUCCUUCUUGUCUCCUUCUGAAUUCUUCUUGCAAUGAUUCAUACGAACAAUUAAGUUCGUAUAUUGCGAAUUUGUAUAUCUCUCCACUUCAGAAGUUUGAAACAAGAAUCUUUUAGCUCUUCCAGCUUUAUCUUUUCCUGCAAAGACAAUCCCCAAUGGCUUUAAACAUAUUUCACCGUCUUCGUACUUUUUCAACUCAACCUGCUUCUUCGUAGGAGCCAUUGGUGCUGUAAUGUCGAUGCCUUUAACAGUAGCAAGUUCGACAUCGGUUUGAGCUAAGCACUCGAAAUAAUUCUCCAAGAAAAUUUUUAUGUGCCUACACCCAAGACUGAAGACAUCUGGUUCUGUUUCUUGGAGGAAAGAAAAGGACUUGUCUUUAAGUAUCAGAGCAACAUUGAUGAGAUCAUAAGUGUUCAUCAAUGGAAAGUCCGCCACAGUGAACUCUUGUAUCUUUCCACUUGCUCUUGUCACAACAUAUUUCAAAUUCUGAAACUUUCCUUCGAAAAUAACAUCCCUUUUUAUGGAUAUCACCUUCUUAAUCUUUUCCAAGAACCAAAUUUCUUCUUGAGCCUUUGCUAACACUGCAUGAAAUCGAAUUUUCAUCUUCUUUCCCUCUUCGACAUCCAUAGACUUUGUUUCUGCUUUGAACUGUGGCAUAACGAACAUCAUCUCGUUGAUUGGAAAAUCAAGUUGACCAUAAUCAAUAUUUUUCACCACAAAACUCCUCUUUGGAAUCUUUUCAAACGAGUACAUAUGAUCGAACAUCACCCUUGAUUCAAUAGUUUCGUAAUUUUAUACUUUCGAAGGAUCUCCCUUAUCAACAUUCGAUCCUUCAAGAGCUCUCUGACGCAUAAUACUUUAAACAUGCCUCAUUCUUUCAACUUCAGCUGCCACCUCAGCUUUUAUCUCUUUGUUAAUCUUCUCAACCUAGACUCUUUUUCCUUUAUCUUUAACAUUCGAAGGAGCUGCAUUCUUUGACGAAGAUACAUUUGAAGAAAUAACAUUCUCAAUUACAAUACCUUUUGUAAUAGGUCUUGAAAUUGGAACAGUUGUAGUCACAGUCGAAAUGACUGGAGCAGCUGAAACUAUUGUUGGUUUAACCACAACUUUCGAAGGAUAAACUUUUCCUACCACCUUCGAAUCUUCAGAUAUCUUCUCAUGUUCCCCAGCCUUUGCUUGACCAACCUUUUCUCCCCCUUGCACCCCUGUGACAGCAGGUGGGGCAUCUGAUACGUUCGGCAAAAGGCUUGAAAGUCUAAGCAAUGGAGUAAGGUGUUUUUGUAGGAUGGCUUCGAAAUGAAUGAAUUUCUGAGAAAGAAAUUCUUGAGAGAUAAUCGGAGAAGAUGAUUUCGAAGAUAUUUCUUUGAGUUCAUUCAGCAGCUUCAUCAACUCUCCAAAAUGUUGUUCUUCUGUGGUUGAAAGAGAGAUAAUCUGUGGAUUUAGUUGUUCGAACAUCUUAACACACUGAACAACCGCAUCACAAAUGAUAUCGAUCUUCUGAUGUGCUGAUUCAUACCCCUGUUGAAUAUGCUGAACUUCCUUCGUCAUUUCUUCACGAAGUUCACGAAUCUGCAUAUUAACGUCUUCUCGAACCUUCUUAACUUCCUGUACGAAGAGCACAUGACGCUCCUUCGUAACUGUCUUUAAAUCCUUCACCUCAUUCAGAAAAUCAGAUCUCAGAGAAUUGAUUCUAUUCUCUGUAGAACUAUCAGUCUGAUCAGUCUUCUCAAGAAUGCGGCUUUCAGAAUCACGUAGUAACCCUGAUGCCUUCGAAAUCACCCUGAUUUCCAUUUUCUUCAUAACAGAAUCGACUUCCAUGAUAUUAAUUCCAGCACUUCCCACAUCUGCUUGAGAUUGCAAGAUAGAAUUCAAUAUCUUGAACUGCUUCAUCGUCAUCAGCAUAUGGUCAGGAAAAUCUUCUUCAGCUUUAUCAAAGGAAAGAGCUUCGAAUGUUCCUCCAAACCCUUCGUUGUCUGUUUCCUCAUCAAUAGCCAUUGUUUCAGCAACAGGUGAUGAUGGAUUUGGUGGUUCGGUUGAUUGUGUAGAGAAUAUGGUGGUUAAAGGUUGAUCCAUUAUAGAUUGGAAUGUUGGAGAAUCAGUUGUUGAAGUAACCUGUGGUAAAGACGUUGGUUCAAGGAUCUUUAUGUCAGCAGGCUUCAAAAUCUCAGUAAACUUAAGAAAUUCUACUUCUUUUGGAAUUUCAUUUUCGGGAGUCUCAGGAACUUGAUCCACUUCUUCGAUUCGUUGGGUUUUCUUCAAAAAUUUCUCCAUAUCUUCAGCCCUUCGCUUUUUAGAAGAUGGAGACACCGGAGCUGGAAUUUCUCGAACGGUAACCCCUUGAUGAGUAACCUGAGUUUUCUUCACCAACUGAGAUUUUCGCUUGAUUUUUAUUCUUCGAAAAACCCCCGUCUUCGAAGGAAUCGUUUCUUUAGAUGGAGAGGCUUCAAUAACCGGUGUAUCAGCCACUGAGGUUAAAACCGGAGACACCUCUUCGACAUUUCGAGAUGUAACGAUUAGCUCCUGAUUCUUUUGUUCUUCUUUCACCCCUUUUUCCGAAGAGUCACCCUCUGUCUUCUUUGACUUCUUCGACUUCUUCUUCUCUUCUUGUUGUAAUAUUCCAGUCACAACGGUUGUGUCAAUGGAUUGUAAGUAUGACACCAACACAUUAUUCGUGGGAUCCACCUUCUUUAGCAUUGCAUCCGGAAUGCGAGCAACUGUGGUAAAGAUAGCUGGAUCAUCAUGUACCUCCUUCGGACUCCCGUACAUGUGGAAAACAGCUUUCUCUUCGUAAUCAGGAACUUCGAUCUUCUCCUUCUGAUAGACAUAUUGGACUAUCAAACUCCAAUAUCUUGCACAUGGAAUCCCCUGCUUAGCACUGGUCUUCGAAAUACUUGUUAUGAACUCUGUCCAUAACUGCUCUGAGUAAUUAACUUGUAAAUCGUAGUAUAGCCCAGCUACCAUUGCAUAGACCUCCAUCCUUCCUUUAUCCAACCCCACAUUUCUUCCAGUAAGACAUCUAAGAAAGAUGCCAAACAAAAAGUUCCAAAUUGUUGGUAACCCCGACUUCUUGAAGUCACUAAUACGUGUCAAUGGAGGUUGGUGACCCAUCUCAUUGAACAUAUACACCACUUGCGAAGAAGUAAGUUCAUCAUACGGGCCAGAAUUCGGAAUUCCCAAAAUCUUGCAAAACAACCUCUUUGAGACCCUAAUUCUUGUAUCUGUGACCAUUGUGAAUUCAACACAUCCAGUCUCCUUGUUGUAUGAUGCCGUAGAACCUGCUUUUGACAACCAGGACAUUGGAGCAGCAAAAGAUUCAAACAUUGCUUUAGACAUAACAGAAUUCUGUAAAGCAACCACAAGCAUGUGUAGUUCUUCCGGAUAUUUUGACAAAUCCGAUUCGACUUGAUAGUUGGAACCCUGGAUCUUCAGAAUCGGAACACUGAUGAUCUCGUCUGUUGUUGGUGAUGAAGUAGUCGCCAUUGAAGAUGAUUUUGAGAAAAGAACUUAUGAAGAAGAUGAAUUGCACAGAGAAUUUUGUGUUUCUGAGAGUUGGAUCGCGUAAAGUCUUAUGGAGUUCUGAUUUGCCCUUUUAUAUGUAACCCUAGAAUUUUGAAUUUGAAGCGGGAUACAAUAAAUGCUUGCUGACAUGGCACCUUGAAAUCCGGAAUGUACUCAUCAAAAAGUAACAAUCGUAACUGUCAACACGCCUUACACGCUUAUCAUACACCAUGCGUCAUCAAGAGAUAGGACUGUUUGGUAUUCCCCAAAAGAAUUGUAACCGUCGGAUGCCUUCGGAAUUGAGGUCAGGCUCUUUCACUUUGGGGUUUAAAAAGCGAAGUCAUUUGCCAGAAUUUCGAAAUCGUCAGUUUAAGUUGGUGUUACUCAAACCUCAAGGAUUUCGUGUGUGCUGUGUUCCAAAAGAAAUUAGAUGAGAAACAAGGAAAAAAAAAACUUUUGAAAACUUGUGAUGUCAACAAUUUCUUUGUGACACAAAAACAAUUUUAUCCCAGGCAAAGAUAUCUUCGAAAAUUAUCAAGAGAGAUAAUUAACAGCUUGUUUGGUUUCCCGUGAAUUACAAUCGAUAACUUGUAGAGAAGUUUCCAAGGGUUUCUUUUAUAUGACAAAUGGGUGGCUUCGAAAAUUUCGUUACGUAUCAACCUUAAAAUAAGGUGAGGAAUUGUAAACAAAAUUAGUUGUAUGACCAGUGUAGUCAGUGACAACUUGGUUGCGAAUGAUAUUCAAAGUAACUAGUAUUUUAAAAAUAUACUCACACAGAAAUCAUAUUCAUAAAAAAAACAUUUAUGCUGGAUCUUUUUGGGAACAAACAUCGUAGUUUUCGAAUGUUUGAUUAAGAUCACUCAAAAGAAAUGAAUAUGAUUUGGAGUAUAAAAGGUACUGAAACAAAUGUUUCGUAAGAUCUGGAAUAUGGUUCCCCGUCAAUUCCUUAAGGUUUAUGGUAUUUUGGGUUUCACUACUAUCACGGACUCAUGAUAUUAGAUCAUAAACACAGAUUUGUGAUUUGUCUAGGUUUUGAUUGGUUUGAUCAAAUACCUCAAGGACAAAUCUUCGAAUAUUUGGAAUGUAAGAAUUGUUUGGUUUAAAAAGAUUGGUUAAGAAUCGAAGGGUACCUCUGUUAUAUUUGGACAAAACAGAAAACUCUUAACUCAUUUGAGAAGAGUAAGGUAGCUCUUGUUGAUUUAUGCAAAUAGAAGCCUUGUUGGGUAGAAAUUUUCAUGAGAUAAUUUCAUCAAGGCUUUCAUCUCUCACACAUAGAAUCAUUCGAGGCUUGAGACAACAUGCAGCAGCAUGCUUCUAGGGACAUCCUAACUAAUCCAAAAUGCAUAGAGAUCAUACCUUUCCUCCAAACGCAUGAAUCCUUCGUAUUUGAAACUUGACAAAACUCACAAUACACAUGUUAAAACUAAAAAAAAUGAAAAAUAUUUUUGGUAUUUUUGUAAUUUUUCAAAAAAAAGUAAAGUCAAACUAAACCAAAAUCUUUUUGGAUUUCUAAUUUUUCAAUAAAAGAAAAUAGUUUUGAUUUUUUCAAGUUUUUCAUAAAAAAAAUUAACAAACUAAAAAGCUAACCUUAGUUGAAAUGUGUACAAAUACGAAGCAUUCGAACCGUUGACUUGAACAGUAACCUCUGAUUAUCUACUUCAAAACUUCCGAAUGCGAAGCGUUCGAAGCGUUGACCAUGAAUAGUAACCUCUGAACACUGAAUCAUCCUGUUCAUUCGUACGCCAAAUGAUUCAGACCCAUCACUCUUCGCUUUUAUUAGUUUGAAGAGAAUUUCCAUCUAUCAUUCCCAAUCCAUCUAAGAUCCGAAGAAAUGAUUUUUCAUCCAAAGCCUUUGUAAAAAUAUCUGCCAAUUGUUCCGUUGUUUUUACAAAAUGAACUUCAACAUUUCCUUCUUCAACAUGAUCUUUGAUGAAAUGAUAUCGAAGAGCAAUGUGUUUGGUCUUUGUAUGCUGCACAGGAUUAUGACAAAUUCUUAUUGCACUUUGUGAAUCACAAUAUAAAGGAAUCUUUUUCAUAUUAAUUGCAUAAUCUCUUAAUUGAAUUUGAAUCCAUAUUAUUUGUAAUGUACACGCAGCUGAAGCAACAUAUUCAGCUUCCNAGCUUCAGCGGUUGAUAUUGAAACACAUGUUUGCUUCUUCGAUUGCCAGCUGACCAGCUUUCCAUCUAGCAAUUGACACCCACCAGUUGUGCUUUUACGAUCAAGACUGCAUCCUCCAAGAUCCGCAUCCGAAUAAGCUUGUACAAAGAACCCUGUUUUCGAAGGAUACCACAAUCCUAACGAAAUAGUGCCUUUCAAAUAUCGGAAAAUAUUCUUUACUGCUGUGAGAUGGGAUUCACGUGGAUUUGAUUGAUACCUUGCACAAUUACAAACAGAAUACAUAAUAUCAGGUCUACUUGCAGUUAAAUACAAUAAAGACCCAAUCAUGCUUCGAUACAAAGUAAUAUCAACAGCAGAUUUAUCUAACGAAGGAGUUAGCUUUAUGCCCGUUGCCAUUGGUAUUCGUAACCUUGUGCUAUUCGUCAUGCCAAACUUUUCCAACAAAUUCUUCAUAUAUCUCUCUUGAUUAAUAAAGAUGCCUUCCCUGUUUUGACGAAUAUUCAAACCCAAAAAGUUAUUAAUUUUACCCAUCAUACUCAUUUCAAAUUUGCUUUUCAUCAGAUCUUCGAAUUCUUUAGAUAAAGCAGGGUCAGUUGAGCCAAAAAUUAUAUCAUCAACAUAAAUUUGAACAAGCAUCAGAUGAUUUCCAAUUUUCUUUCGAAAUAAAGUAGGAUCAACUGAGCCUUGUUUAAAUUUAGAUUGUUUCAAAAAUGAUGUUAGAGUUGCAUACCAUGCUCUUGGUGCUUGUUUUAACCCAUAUACAGCUUUAUCUAAAAUAUAAACAUGAUCAGGAUGCUCUGAGUUUAUAAAACCUGGAGGUUGUUCAACAUAUACCGUUUCUUCGAGUUCUCCAUUUAAGAAUGCACAUUUGACAUCCAUUUGAUAGACAUCAAAAUCUUUAUGAGCUGCAAAAGCCAGAAAAAUACGAACAGCCUCGAGUCUUGCGACAGGGGCAAAUGUUUCUUCGUAAUCAAUUCCUUCUUGUUGAGAAUAUCCUUUAACAACAAGUCUGGCCUUAUUUCGAAUAAUGUUUCCAUCUUUGUCAGUUUUGUUUUUAUAAAUCCAUUUAAGUCCAACAACUGACACAUCAUCAGGUUUUGGAAUUAAUCUCCAAACCUUGUUUCUUUCGAAUUCAGACAAUUCAGCUUGCAUAGCAACAACCCAAUCAGAGUGUUCCAUUGCAAUCUUAACUGUCUUUGGUUCGAUUUUGGAAAUAAAAACAUGAAACAUGCAGAACUCUUGAUGAUUGUUCAGUACCUCAUUUCGUGCAUGAAGUUGUGCUCUUGUCAUGAUUCCUGCUUGUGGAUCACCAAGAAUUUGAUCUUUUGGAUGAUUUCUUGUCCAUUUAUCCAAUGGUGGAUAAUUAGGAUCAAAAUCCAAAAGUGCAUCUUCGAACAUUACAUCUGUUUCUGAUCCAUUUAUAGAAAUAGAAUCAUCAGCAUCAUCAAAAUGUUCUUCUUCAAGAAUUGGAUCAUUCUCUAGUAUGAGCUCCCCCUCGAUGAUUGACUCCGUUUCGAUAUUUUGCUCUGGUUCACUGAUCGGUUCUUCUUCAAGAAUUUGCUCCUCUUCGACACUAACAUUUGUUGACAUGUUAUCUCUUUCACUAUAACGCUCCCCCUCAACAAAAGUAUUUGAAUCCAAGUGCUCCCCCUCCACUGGAUCAUCAGCUUGUUCAUUUGGGUUUUGAUUCAAAUUCGAAGUUGAAUCAUUGUUAUACUUCGAAUUUUCUGAUGUUUGAUUAUCAGUUGCAUUUCUUUCUGCAUCAAUUGUUUGUUCUGAAAUACCGAAAAUCAAAUCAUAAUCAACAUCAUCCAUUUCAAUUGAAUCAUCUAUAUUUGAAUAAUUUUGUAAAAUUGGAUAAUUUGCAAAUUUAUGACUAGACUUUUUAAUGUAUUGAUCAUCAAAUGUCAAAUUAAAAGUUUCUUCCACUUUACGAGUUCGCUUAUUUAACACUCUAUAAGCAACUGAAUUGUGUGAAUAUCCCAAGAAAAUUCCUUCAUCUGCUUUUGUUUGAAACUUCGAAAGAUUAUCCUUAAGAUUCAUUAUGAAACACCUGCAUCCAAAAACAUGGAAAAAUUUGACAUUAGGUUUUCGAUUAUUGAUGAUUUCAUAAGGAGUAACAUUAAACCGUCUAUGAAUAAAUGAUCGAUUUUGAGUAAAACACGCAGUUGAAACAGCUUCAGCCCAAAGAUAUUGAGGUAAAUUCGAAAAUGCCAACAUUGUUCUUGCAGCUUCACAUAAUGAUCGAUUUCUUCUCUCAACUACACCAUUUUGUUGUGGUGUAUAAGGAGAUGAAAAAUUAUGCGAAAUUCCUUUUUCCACCAGAAAUGUAUCGAAGACAUGAUUUUUGAAUUCAGUUCCAUGAUCACUUUUAAUUUUUCGAACUGUCUUCUUCAAUGAAACUUCCAUCUUUUUGAUAAAAUCAAUCAUCAUUUGUGGAACUUCGGAUUUUAACCUGAGAAAAUAAACCCACGUGAAUCUUGAAAAAUCAUCUACUAUUACCAAAAUGUACAUUUUCUUGUUAAGAGUAGCAACUGUUGAAGGACCACAUAAAUCUAUAUGCAAGAGUUCAAGGGGUUCAACAAUCUUCGAAUCUAUUGUGAUUGGAUGACCUUGUUUGUGUUGUUUCCCUACUUCGCAAGCUGCACACAAACUGUCAUUAUCAUAUUUAAGAAUGGGUAAACCUCUUACCAGAUCUUGUAUGACAAGUUUGUUGAUGUUUCGAAAAUUGAGAUGUGAUAAUCUCCUGUGCCAUAACCAGCUAACAUCAGCAGCAGCCUUCGAAAGUAGACACACAGCAGGUUUGCCUACAAUAGGAACAAUAUCCAAUGUAAACAUAUCACCUUUUCUUUUUGACUUAAGUAAAACUUCCUUAGUCUUGACAUUCGAAAUGACACUUCCUUCUUCAUUAAAAAGAACUUGAUUGCCAGUGCCCACAACAAGUUGUGAAACACUUAUCAAGUUGUGUUGCAAACCUUCAACAAAUGCAACUCUGUUGAUAGUGAAAUUUCCAUUCGUUAUCUUCCCAUAACCCUUGACUUUGCAUUUGUGAUUAUUACCAAACUUAACCACUCCUCCAUUUUCUAGGCUUCGAAAAUCACGCAAGUUUUCCUUCUUCCCAGUCAUGUGACGUGAGCAACCGCUAUCAAUAUACCACUUGUUAUCAUAUUGCUCGUCACAAAGUACCUGCAAUCAUUGGAAAAAUUUAGGUACCCAAGCUUUGUUGGGUCCAUUCAUAUUAGGUUUGUGAUUCAAUUGUAAAGUACAACCAUUAACCCAAUCAUAUACUUUGGUUUUGAAACUGUCAAUAAAUCUAACAUUUUCAUUCGAAGGGUCAGAUAUAUGAGUUUUUAUUAUUUUCAAAUUUUCACUAAUUUCACCCUUCGCAUCUUGAGUUUGUGAUUUUUCACUUUUUGCUCUUGUGACCGGCUGCCAAACUUUAACUGAUAUAUUUGACUCUUUGGAUGAUGAACUACCAUUCGUUGAAGGAUUAGCAUAUUUGUCAUACGCCUCAUGUAUCUGUUCUUUCGAAAACUUACUUGAUUGGUAUAUCUUUCCUUUUCCUUCCAACCAAUGAUCAAUAUUUCUCUUUGUUGUUAUUCCCUUUGCAUAUGAGACUUUGUCAGCUUGUUUCUUCAAAGGAUUAUAACAUUUUGCUGUAUUUGGAACAUAAUCAACUUUUGGUUUUGAAAGAUAUGAUUCAUGAUAAGAUGUCUUGUUUUGAAACUUUGAAGUUUGAUUUCCAACCUUUUUCUGAAAAAAAUUUCUUGGUAUUGUAGAUUUUAUUUCAUUUGAAACUUUUGAAUUUUUAUUUGAAAACAAAGCACUUUUCUCUUCAAAAAUUUGAGAUUUUGAUUUUUCUUUAAAAACUUUUCUUCUUUUUGAAAAAUUUGUUGAUCUCAUUUUUGAUGGUUCAACAGUUUGCCAAAAAAUUGUUUUUCUCGCUUGACGUUUCGAAAUAUUAUUUUCCUUUGAAAAAUUUUCAACUUGAGCUUUAAAUUCUUUUGAAUUUAAAUUUAUUGCUUUGUUAAUUGUUUUAUCAUCAGUUUUAACACCUUCUUGCUUUGUGACCACAUUUGCAGUUGGGACAACUUCCUUCUUUUCAACUUUUGACUUUUCAAUCCAUACUCUUUUUGGUUUAUGAUGUUGAAAUUUAUAUGUAUUCUUUGUAAGAUUAUUUUCAACUGUACUUUGAUUUGAAAAGAAUCCUUCAUUUGAUGUUUGCAUAUUGUCUUCCUCAACCAUCUUUUUGAAUUCAGGUUUUAUAUUUUCAACAUUACCUGUUGUUACGAAGACUUGAUUUGGGAACACAAUAUCAUUAGUGCAUUUGAAGAUUGGAUAAACAACAAUAUUCGAUUCAAGAAAAUGAGCACCUUUUUCACUAAGAAUCUUCUCAAAUUCUUGUGUAUCCAAAUAGACUUGAUCAACAACCACUCGAGGAAUUUCAAUUUCUUUCGACCUUUGAUUUGACUUUGUAUUUGAAUUUUCUUCCUCAUUGUCACUAUCAUCAGUUUGACUCUCAUGUAUUUCCACAAACUCCAUAUCACAAACUUUCGAAGUUGAGGGUUUAUCAGUUUCAAUUUUCAUUAAUAAAUCGUCACAUUUUUCUUUCCCUUUAAAUGAAUUUGCAACAUUUAUGACAGACAACUGUGAACAAUCUACAUCUUCUAAAUCACUAAUUUCACUAAUAUUAUCAGAAUUAUCUUCAAUAUCAGCAAUAUUAGUUUCACUAUUAGAUGUAGAAUUCUCAGUCUUUUUCAAAAUUCGAAGUUGUUCUGAUUUAGUUAAGGUUUCAUUUACAAUUUUUACUAAAUCAUCAGCAUCAAGAUAAUCUUCGACUUUUGCAAUUCCAUAUCUAAACCUAUCAUCUGGGACUUUGUUAAAAUCAGAAAUUUCUUUUUCACAAUCAUAUGAAAUACUAUCAACCUUAGCUCUAUCAUAAGCUAAAAAAGGUAGUAAUUUUCUAUGUUGUUCCUUACUUAUUUCACAUGAAUGAUGUAACUCAGUUAAUUUUCCAUACAAUCUUUUUGCUAAAUUACAAAAAAUAUUUCUUUGAGCUAACAACAGGUUUAUUUCUUUUGCUAAUUUUUCUCUAUCCUCCAUGAUAUUUGAAACUUGCAGUUCUAAGUAAUCAAUCCUAGUGACUUUUGAAUCCAUCAUUUUUCUCGUCUCUAGUAAUUGAUCACUUAACUUUUUCGCUUCAUUGCUAGCAGACACAAUGAUUGAAUCAAACUAAGUAACAGUUUCAUCAAAAUAUACUAGCUCAGAAUUAUAUGCAGAAACUGGAAUGUUAAAAGAUUCAAGAAUGUUACGUACCUUGGUAGUCAUGGGCGACUUGUCAGUAGACUUCGAAACGAAGCAUUGCCCACACACUUCGUCAGUCUGUUCAUCAUCUGAAUCCUCUUCCAUUUUUGCAUACAUGGCUCCAUGAGUUGGAUUUUUCAUCUCUUCAUCAUCUGAACCCGAAAACCAUAUUUGAUAUGUUCCAUCUGAUUUAUUUUCUCCAUGAGCCACCAAUGACAAAUUCUUCGCUUUCUUCUUUACUUCUUCCAGUUUCUCAGUGUAGUAUGCUUCAUCCUUUGUUUUAUUUUUCUUUUCCUCUUUCUUCCUCAACAAACAAUCUACUGCCAAAUGAUUUGCUCCAUAGCAAUAAUGGCAAUUAAUUCCUGUAUCACCUUUCAAUAACAUCUUCAUUUGCUCCAUCUCAUUCUUCGAAUCUGUCUUCAUUUCUUUCUUCUUUUCAUCCAGUUUGUUUUUGUUUUCAAAACUACCCUUCGAAUCUGAUGACUUCUUUGGAUUAAAAGGUUUCUUAAAAAAUUUCUUUACUCUAUUGUUUGAGUAAAAAGCAACAGCCUCAUCAUCAGAAUUCAUCAAAAAACCUUCUUCUUCAUCAAACUUCAAUUUUUCACUUUCUCUUUCUGAAACCUUCGAAACUAGAGCCAAAGGACCACCAAGACUUGCUAUAGCUUCUUCAGCUAUUUCAUUAACUUCAUUUUCAUGAGAUUUCAAUUGAUUGUACAAGUCAUUCAAAGUCGAAGUAUCAAAACUCUGUUGAUUUUUCACCAUCAUGCUCACACUUCUCCACUCCUUUCGAAGUCCCAUUACAAAUAUCAAAUUGUACUCCAUU